rnacentral:rRNA from 1 species
UACGUAGGGGGCCAGCGUUGUUCGGAAUUACUGGGUGUAAAGGGUUCGUAGGCGGUGCGGCAAGUUGGGAGUGAAAUCUCUGGGCUCAACCCAGAGACGGCUUCCAAAACUGCUGUGCUUGAGUGUGAGAGAGGCUCGUGGAAUUGCAGGUGUAGCGGUGAAAUGCGUAGAUAUCUGCAGGAACACCGGUGGCGAAGGCGGCGACCUGGGUAGAUACUGACGCUGAGGUGCGAAAGCGUGGGGAGCAAACAGG